rnacentral:rRNA from 1 species
UACGGAGGAUCCAAGCGUUAUCCGGAAUUACUGGGCGUAAAGAGUUGCGUAGGUGGCAUUGUAAGUUGGUAGUGAAAGCGUUCGGCUCAACCGGAUAUGCAUUACCAAAACUGCAAAGCUAGAGGAUGAGAGAGGUUAUUGGAAUUCCCAGUGUAGGAGUGAAAUCCGUAGAUAUUGGGAGGAACACCGAUGGCGUAGGCAGAUAACUGGCUCAUUCCUGACACUAAGGCACGAAAGCGUGGGGAGCAAACGGG